AAACAAAACAAUAAAAUGAUGAUGUGGCGCGCCAUAGGGAGCGCCUUAGGGCGCCCCACUGCAGGUGGGGAGGUAGGAGGAUAAAACUGCUGACGUGGGCGCGCCUUAGGGCGCCCCAUUGCUAAUUCUCUUAGUACCUUAAUUCAUUUAUGGAGUUCGUUUCUUGUGGUAGGUGCACUAGAAUGGCAGGGAUUUUGUAGCUGAAUUUUCUCGGCAGUGGCAGGUGGAGAGGUGGUUUGGCUGUGCCCUGCAGGCUGCUGCAGUUAAAAGGCUGAUAUGGCUCCAUGGCAGCCUUCGGUUGAGCUGGGGAAGUGCAGGGGUUGUUGUCAUCUAUCUUCCCUAAUUUGGCAUUCCCUUGGUCUUCAUAAAAAAGAGAUGGGCAAGCACUAGUUGGCUGGGAAUCCUCUCGUGACAUGGGUCGUUCUUUUUGGCCUGAUGGUCGAUCAAGACACGACGUGGGCGUAGCUCAGCUCGAUAUGAGGGAUACAUGUUUUUAUUCUAAUUAUUUACCCCACUUGUAAAAUAGUCACUUUAGUGCAUUUGUAAUAGAUUUUGUGUUACAUCUAAACUGUUACAUCUAAACUAUUCUCCUUUAUCCUUUCUUGGGUAGAUUAAGGCAUAGUUUGUAGUACUAAAGAUACUUUGUAUUAUAUACUUGACGAAAUAAAUGAACGAUACUCAUUCUUA